rnacentral:sRNA from 1 species
GGGUUAGAUGGAGAAGGGGGGUUCAUUUCUUUCUGAUAGUGACGGCCUUGGUUCACAGGCUGAAAGAAACAAAACAUCUGUGAGGCGGAAACCCAUCAGCUUGGCGACCUUGGCACACACCCUCGCAUCAGUCCUCAUUUCUGAUGUUUUGAUAUCAACGGUUCUCAUUUUUUGAGAUCUUAUUUCUGAUAUUCCAUCUGCAGGAGAGAGCUGCGUCCCCUUCCCAGCGUAGGCAGAGGCUCUGGGAGACCCAGCAAUCCCAGGGUGGCAUAACCCACAGAACGCAGGCCACUUUAAAGGGUUCCGUAGCAUCUGUGAUGUAAACAGAGGCCUCCCUCACAUGAGAGCUCUCCGUGUGGAAUCUUUAGGCUGUUGCUGCUUCUGGAGACAGCAGAGGAAAACAAGGUCUCCUGCUGAAAGCACUGGCAAUGGCUAGAGGUGCAGCAAAACAUAUUUAUGUCUCAGGGCCAGUAAGUUGGCGAGGACCACUCUGUUGCCGUUAGCUUGGACUGUUCAUGUGAAUCUCAGGUCCCACCCCCAAAUGUAUACGAAAACUGUGAGCAUGGAUCAGAAUGAGCUGACAAAGUGGUGCUAGUAAAAAUGGGGACUCUCUAACCCCCCCCACAAUAAACCUUUCCUCAUUUCUUGAAACACAACUAAGAAACACACAAAAAACAAGACAGAAAAACAAAUGAAUGCCAAUAAUAAAACUUGAUUUUCUUCCUCUUUGAGGAGAAAGUUCGGACAGCUAAUACCAACUCCAUUUUGAGGAUAAUUCUAAAUGUUUUCCUAACGUGGCUAACAAUGACAAAAUUCUAACAUGGAAACCACAUUAUUUUGGCCUUCUUGUUUUACCACACGGUGGAACUUGGCAUGCAUUUGUGAAGUGCAUUCAGAACUCCUGCUCCCACAGGGGUUGCUAAGGCCCCUUCACCCUAGUGAGGAGAUGUGGUCCCAUGGUGCAGAGGUGCAGAGACCAAGCUAAGAUGUGUCAGUCACCCAUGUGAGAAUCAUGUCACUUAGCCUGGCUACCUGCGAUGCACCAUGCAUUUCGGUGCUCUCAGAUAAUUUGGUGAGUGAACGGCAGGCAACACCGUCACGGUAAUCAGAAAUAACAGCUGGGAGAACAGUGGAAGGGAAAUAUGUCAUAAGGCAUAACUCAUCUCACCAGAGAAAUCAAAAUUUCAGCAAUUUGCAAGUGAAAUUUAGUUGGCAAUUUAGGCUUUAUUAUUUAGAGCGAGAGCUGCUUCUCUGGAUCAGCUUGCACUGGGAUAGGAAAUGUCCCAAUGAUGCCGUCGUUGGCAUCCACUGUGCGUCUGCAGCACUGAGGCCUCUGGUGAAUGGACUUCUGCUUAUUUAUCUCCACAUGCACUUCCAGAACUUUCUGGGUAGGUAUCACAGCUCCAUAACCGAGCAAAUGUCCACCCCUGAAUUUUAUAGCCAUUGGUUCUAUGUAAACUCAUUCCAAGCCCUUAUUCCAGAUGCUGUCUUUCCUUCCUUGGAAAGCUCUUUGCCCUGGGCACACUAGUUCUUCUCAGUGAUCCAAGGGGGAAGAAAGGCACAUCCAAUAAUGACUCACAAUAGUGUUUGGAAACAUUCAAUAACAGCUUUUCAGAGAAGGAAAAACUUCAUAUGCAGAGGUAUGUCUGCCUGAAGUCAAAUGUCAUCAAGUUGACUUUAUGGGGCUGAAGACCUGCUACCCCACCUGUGGUAUCUUGCAUUGAGAAACAGAAGCAGUGACAAGGUUGCACAUCCCUGCCCUUGCUCUUUACCUCAUACAACUGAGGAAGGAGUUUGUGGUGUACUCCUAAACCUUAUGUGAUCCUCCCUGCACCCAGAAGAAAGGAUCCCCCUUAUCUCAAGAAGGUGCAGGAACACAGGGGAGAGGCUGAUCAAAAGGCCUUGCUAAGCUCUCCUGGUAUCCUUCCAGUAGAUCAUAUCACCUUUAUUAAAUCAUAGUUCUCCAUGAAUUUCCACUCUGUCUAAUCUAGCAUGACAAUAAGCAAGAGACCAUUUCUCUUGGAAAAUUCAAGUGUAAUCAUUUCUCUGGGUCUUCCUUUUUUUUCUUUUUGAGGGUUCUUGUGUCAUGAAACACGUAUGAAAUUUAUUUGUAGGCUUUAAAAAAGAAAUGAAUCUGUCUUCUAUUAUAAAUUCUCAGCCAUGGACCUAAGGUGGGUAGUGAAGGAGACAUUUUCCCUUUCCUGGGUUUCUCCUAUAGACAUAUCAAUAAGUUUGUUUUUUGGGUAGGUAACAUCCUGUGACGGUAUCUGUGAUGGUCAAAUAAAAUCAAGGUUUGAUUUUGGAAUUUAGCCUUACGUGCAGAAUACUCUAAGUAUUCUUAGAGUAUAAUGCAAAAGGCCAUUGCUCAUGCCCAGAAGUAACAACACCAACUCCAAUAGCAGCAGCAACUUACUGGUGUCUACGAACACCUACGAGGGCCACAGCAGUGACGCAUAUUUACCUCAGUUACCUCGUGCUAAUUCUCGAGAGGGAUGAUCUCAUUUGAGCCCCACUGCAAGCCUGUGAACUACAUAUGAUUAACUCAUUUAUUAGAAGAGGACAUUCUGCUACUAGUAUUAACCCAAGACCGUGCUUGCCAGGACACGGUGCAGCUAGGAUCUGUACCCAUUCGUGAGACUCCAUCUCGGCACUAGUUUGUUUGUAUUGUUUAAUGCAGCUUGGGAAUUCACGCAGAAUGUGGAAUGCAAUGUUUCUGAAUAACAACCUGGCAGGAUCCAUUCAGUAUACGGAAAGGAAAAAGGAAGCAGUCCCAAGAUACAUUUGUCUGAAGCAUACGAGACUGUCCGAUUUUUAUAAAUUAAGUUCACUUGAUUUGACACUCACAGCAUGUCGCUAUAUAUUUAAAGUUAACAUCAGUAAGAUUUUAAGCACACUGAUGAACGUGGGCCUGUUAUAUAUAGUUGAGUUAUAUCAGGCAACACACACUCGGAGAAUAAGGACCAUUCAUAUUGUGAGGUGACUUUUGUAGUCGCUAGCCAUAGAACAACUUGCACAUAACCAUAUUUUCUCCUGACAGCACAGAAAUGACCGUGACUCUAAUAUCAGUUUCCUCGUAUCAUUUCUCAGUUUCAUCUGAUUUUAUCUACAGUGCAGCACAAUCAAAACCCUACCUUCCUAGUUUACCCAGAUAACAAACAAGCCUGGCAUAUCCUGCAAGAGCUGAGGAACUAAUGAGUCUGUGGAUGAGAAGAAAUUAAGACCCAUUAGGGCCCCAGUCCGUGUGCACGGCCCCAGGAUGCCUGCUUAGCUCCAGGAGCCAUGAGAAGAGGAACUUGAAGAACUCCUGCCAGGUAGCAGGCUCCUAACAUGGAAAGGCCCUUUGGGGCUGGCUCAGCAGCUAAUGGUGCUUUCCACAGAGCCUGACAACUGGGCCCAGUCAAUCCCUGGGACUGCCAUGGUGGAAGAGAACUAAUUCAGCCAGGCUGUGCUCCAACAUCCAUGCCCGUGCCAUGGUGCGGAAUGAGCGCAUGCGACACAGAUGACGAAGUCUGGGACGGGAGGUGGACAUUUACUCCUGCUCUGGGCACAGAGGAAGAUAUGGCCUUCACAGUGAGGCCUAGAGUAGUGCCACCGAAAAUCCUGGAGCUGUCUGGGUGUCAAUCCGGAGCAAGGUACACGGAUACCCUCACCGUGCAGGUACAGAGCUGGAACUGUAACUUGGAGGGAAUGGUGGAGAGAAGGGGGAAGUGAGGCUGGGGUAGGGUGGUCUCUCAGAGUGCAGGAAGCCCUCUGCCUCAGACUCCAGAGGCAAUGGGAGUCACUGCUUUAGGGAGAACGGAGCGUGUGUGAAUAUCCACAGAGACCAGAAGAGGAGGUUGGGUCCCCUAGAGCUGGAGUAACAGGCAGCUGUGGGCUGCCUGCUGUGGCUACAACAGACUGAAUUCUGGCCAUCUGACAACUAAGGAUUUUACUAAGUGCUUAUUAUGUUUCAAAUUCAGCAGCAGAUGUUUUACAAGGCGGUAGGCCACCGGGUGAGUGCUCCUAACCCUUAGAUCAGAGGCAAGGAGAUGAGGUAUGAGAAAAGCCAGACAAACAGCACCGCGCCAAGUCCCUCUUCUGACCUCCGAGGAUACCAGGAGUGCACAUGCAGGAUGCGGAGUUCAUUACGGAAUGCAAUUUCCCAUUUGUUGCUAGUUCCAGUGGUGGAGCAAACCGAACUUGAUGAAAUAAUAAACACGUCCCAUGAAUCUGAAGAAUAGGACAGCGAUGAGAACCCCGUAUCCAGGGCAACCAAGAGUUCAGACUUCUCAGUCCAUAAAUAAUCAUUCCCCGGCUUGCCCUCUGUACUCCUGGUCUCUGAGCCACUUUCUGACAAAAUGGGCUCCAUCCGGACGGAGGCUGCCACUCUUUCUCUAACUGGGGCUUAAAUGACUGCUGGGGAAUAUUCUAUAAAAAAGGCACCGUUUCACUUCUGUCUGCAACUGACUCUUGUAAUUUUUCUCUGGUGAGAGGAUGCUCUGUGGCCAGAGUCAUGGGGGCAUAGAUACCAUCUAGCACCAAGCUGCCUAGAAAGUUCUGGGUAUCCAUGGCUGCGUCUAAUGAGACCAGAUUGAGCAAGAGGAAGCUGGAGGCAGGGGAGACAGAGACAAAGGUCCCAAAGUGAGCACUGGUGGUAACUGUCCGCCUUUGAACCUCCUUAGAGACUUCUGGAUUCACUGUCCAUGAUGACUUGCAUGUUCUCUCAAGAGCACAGGAACCUUAUCUUCCAUUGGAUGCCUGUAGCACCCAUUUGACAAGCAACUCACAUAUUAAGAGUCAGGAAGACAGCCGGGCCACUUCUCAGGAACCGCAGUGUUCUCACAGGAAGUGGAAACGCUAGUGGCAGCUGGAAGGACUCAUGUAACUAACACAUUGGACUACACGCCAAGAGGCUGCCCAGACACACGAUGUCUACAAAACUGUUGGGGGGCCUGGAACAACUGGCAGAUAGCAAACAAUUACUUAUUAAAUAUGCAAAACUUAUCUUCUCUCUACUACAUUUGAACUUAACAUUAUGUAGGUUUAAAACGUAUCUUAAACAUUUUAAGGAUUUAUUGAUAUUUACUUAA